AUUGAACGCUGGCGGCAGGCCUAACACAUGCAAGUCGAACGAGUGGCGGACGGGUGAGUAAUGUCUGGGAAACUGCCUGAUGGAGGGGGAUAACUACUGGAAACGGUAUCUCAUACCGCAUACCAUCAGAUGUGCCCAGAUUGGAUUAGCUGGUUGGUGGGGUAACGGCUCACCAAGGCGCUGACCCCUAGCUGGUCUGAGAGGAGGACCAGCCACACUGGAACUGAGACCCGGUCCAGAUCCCUACGGGAGGAAGCAGUGGGGAUUAUUGCACAAUGGGGGCAAGCCUGAUGCAGCCCGGCCGGGUGUAUGAGGAAGGCCUUCGGGUUGUAAAGUACUUUCAGCGGGGAGGCGUUACCCGCAGAAGAAGCACCGGCUAACUCCGUGCCAGCCGCCGCGGUAAUUC
rnacentral:rRNA from 1 species